ACUCCUACGGGAGGCAGCAGUGGGGAAUAUUGCACAAUGGGCGCAAGCCUGAUGCAGCAACGCCGUGUGAGUGAAGAAGGUUUUCGGAUCGUAAAACUCUGUCCUAAGGGAAGAAACAAAUGACGGUACCUUAGGAGGAAGCCCCGGCUAACUACGUGCCAGCAGCCGCGGUAAUACGUAGGGGGCGAAGCGUUAUCCGGAAUCACUGGGGCGUAAAGGGUGCGUAGGCGGCUUAGCAAGCCAGGGGUGAAAGGCAUUGGCUCAACCAAUGUAAGCCUUUGGAACUGUUAAGCUUGAGUGCAGGAGAGGUAAGUGGAAUUCCUAGUGUAGAGGUGAAAUUCGUAGAUAUUAGGAGGAACACCAGUGGCGAAGGCGACUUACUGGACUGUAACUGACGCUGAUGCACGAAAGCGUGGGUAGCGAACAGGAUUAGAUACCCUGGUAGCACAGAG
rnacentral:rRNA from 1 species